UUGAAAAAUUUGAAAAGCAGAGUAAUUAUCGCUUAAUUGUUACAGAGAAUUAUCGGUUGGUGAGAGAUAAGCAAUUGAAGGUAAUGAAGAUGGGCUUGGAUAUCAGUGUUAGCGAUAAGUAGUUACCAACAUAGUUUGUGAACCGUUAGCUGUCACAAACUAUGUUGGUAGUUAAUAAGGUUCAUUGCGCGAGUAAUGGAUAAAUUAAAGGUGGUAACGCGAAGCACUCGUCCUUUUG
rnacentral:ncRNA from 1 species